rnacentral:rRNA from 1 species
GACUACAGGGGUAUCUAAUCCUGUUUGCUCCCCACGCUUUCGUGCAUGAGCGUCAGUAUUGGCCCAGGGGGCUGCCUUCGCCAUCGGUGUUCCUCCACAUCUCUACGCAUUUCACUGCUACACGUGGAAUUCCACCCCCCUCUGCCAAACUCUAGCCGUACAGUCUCAAAUGCAGUUCCCAGGUUGAGCCCGGGGAUUUCACAUCUGACUUAUACAACCGCCUGCGCACGCUUUACGCCCAGUAAUUCCGAUUAACGCUCGCACCCUACGUAUUACCGCGGCUGCUGGCACGUAGUUAGCCGGUGCUUCUUAUGCGGGUACCGUCAUCUACUCCAGGUAUUAACCGAAGCAAUUUCUUCCCCACCGAAAGAGCUUUACAACCCGAAGGCCUUCUUCACUCACGCGGCAUGGCUGGAUCAGGCUUGCGCCCAUUGUCCAAAAUUCCCCACUGCAGCCCCCCGUAGG